rnacentral:misc_RNA from 1 species
AAAUGACAAUUGAGAGAUAGGCAUCUUCAAUUUUUGCCAAAAGGGAUGCUGAGAUGUCUUCUCCUCUCUCAAGGCUUUCAUCCACAAACACAUCUAUAUGGUUUUGGCUCAAUUCUUUUUGGAGAUGGCUGAGAAAACCAUCACGGGUAUCUUUGCCAUAAAAACUAAUGANNNNNNCCGUCAUAUGUCUUCAAUUGAGGGGCAAUGGAAGAACAAGAAAAGGCCAUUAUUACAAAACCAAAGCUAAAUUCUGAGCAAUGAAACAAGUAAGAAAAG